rnacentral:rRNA from 1 species
UGCGUAGGUGGAUAAAUAAGUUGGACGUGAAAGCCCCGGGCUCAACCUGGGAUGGUCGUCCAAUACUGUUUGUCUAGAGUAUGGUAGAGGGUGGUAGAAUUUCCGGUGUAGCGGUGAAAUGCGUAGAUAUCGGAAGGAAUAUCAAUGGCGAAGGCAGCCACCUGGGCUAAUACUGACACUGAGGCACGAAAGCAUGGGGAGCAAACAGGAUUAGAUACCCUGGUAGUCCAUGCCGUAAACGAUGAAAACUAGCCGUUGGGCAUCUACGGAUGUUUAGUGGCGCAGCUAACGCGAUAAGUUUUCCGCCUGGGGAGUACGGCCGCAAGGCUAAA